GAAAUAGCUCAGUUGGGAGAGCGUUAGACUAUAGAUCAAAAAGUCCCUGGUUCGGUCCGGCAAACUUUUU
rnacentral:tRNA from 1 species